UGGAAAGAAUCGCACUUACACCGAACCUUUUCGAGGCUGUGUGAUUAACUACAAAACCAUCAAAGAUUUUUGAGAUGUUGGAAUGUUGCAGGGUCAGAGUCUAGUUAUACUGGAUGAGCUUUACCCCCUUAAUAGGCAUUCAUUAUUUACUUUUCUAUGUAACCUAACAUGUCUGUGACCAGGAAGUACAUCUUUUGGAGUAUACAAGCAGACCACUAACUUCCACCAAUGAGAAGACGAAGAACGCUAUCAGCUAGCAUCUGAUGCCUGUUGAAAUAAUCUGCUGGAAUUCAAAAUACAAUUACCAUGCUUGACCAAUUUCCUGUAUCCUGGAGCUGACCAUUAUUAAUGGCAUCCAAUUAUUCAUAGCGAUCAAGCAGUCGACCUUGCUAAGUAGAUCACAGUGGUUGGCAUUUGACAGUCAGCCUGCUGGAUGUGCAUAAUGGAAGGAGACAAUGUCAUAUCCUGGUUGUCCUCAGGUGGUUGUGAGCAGUAAAAUGAUGUAAUUACCACAGAACGAUCAGGUAAGCAAAAAACCAC